rnacentral:lncRNA from 1 species
CUUGUUUCAAGUAUGUUUUAUUAUGAAAAGUACAAUAUAUCCAUGUAUACUUGUACAACUAUGGAGCGUAUGUCCACAUAUAAUUGUACAAUUUGUUUUUCCAACAUAAAAGACAAGAAAUGAUCACAUUGGUAUUUUAACGGUGUUAUUGUAAGAGUUUAAAUGUUUAAACAGAGGAUACAUCUAAAACAGGAUAAAACAAGUGCAGUAUGUUGUGAGAAUGUUACUUUAACGUCGACUCAUAACGUCACACUAUAACGUCAUGGGAGUCUUGUGGAAAGACUAACGGUGUUAUUGUAAGAGGUCAUGGGUCAAGGUCCUCACAAUUAUAGGAAGAUGCGCAUGUGUGUGUGUGAGAGUGUGUCCUGUGUGUGUGUAUGUGUCCUGUUUGUGUGUGUGUGUGUGUGUGUGUGUGUGUGUGUGUGUGUGUGUGUGUGUGUGUGUGUGUGUGUGUGUGUGUGUGUGUGUGUGUGUGUCCAGUGUGUGUGUGUGUGUGUGUGUGUGAGUCCAGUGUGUGUGUGUUUGUUUGUCUAGUGUGUGUGUGUGUGUGUGUGUGUUUGUCCAGUGUGUGUGUGUGUGUGUGUGUGUGUGUGUGUGUGUGUGUUUGUCCAUGUGUGUGUGUGUGUGUGUGUGUGUGUUUGUUUUUGUCCAGUGUGUGUGUGUGUGUGUGUGUUUGUCCAGUGUGUGUGUGUGUGUGUGUUUGUCCAGUGUGUGUGUGUGUGUGUGUUUGUCCAGUGUGUGUGUGUGUGUGUGUUUGUCCAGUGUUUGUGUGUGUGUGUCCAGUGUGUGUGUGUGUGUGUGUCCAGUGUGUGUGUGUGUGUGUCCAGUGUGUGUGUGUGUGUGUCCAGUGUGUGUGUGUGUGUGUCCAGUGUGUGUGUGUGUGUGUCCAGUGUGUGUGAGUCCAGUGUGUGUGAGUCCAGUGUGUGUGUGUGUGUGAGUCCAGUGUGUGUGUGUGUGUGUGUUUGUCCAGUGUGUGUGUGUGUUUGUCCAGUGUGUGUGUGUGUGUGUGUGUGUGUGUGUUUGUCCAGUUUGUGUGUGUGUUUGUCCAGUGUGUGUGUGUGUGUGUGUGUGUGUUUGUGUGUGUGUUUGUCCAGUGUGUGUGUGUGUGUGUUUGUCCAGUGUGUGUGUGUUUGUCCAGUGUGUGUGUGUGUGUGUGUUUGUCCAGUGUGUGUGUGUGUGUGUGUUUGUCCAGUGUGUGUGUGUGUGUGUGUGUUUGUCCAGUGUGUGUGUGUGUGUGUGUGUGUUUGUCCAGUGUGUGUGUGUGUGUGUGUGUUUGUCCAGUGUGUGUGUGUGUGUGUGUGUUUGUCCAGUGUGUGUGUGUGUGUGUUUGUCCAGUGUGUGUGUGUGUGUGUGUCCAGUGUGUGUGUGUCCAGUGUGUGUGUGUGUGUGUGUCCAGUGUGUGUGUGUGUGUCCAGUGUGUGUGUGUGUGUCCAGUGUGUGUGUGUGUGUGUCCAGUGUGUGUGUGUGUGUGUCCAGUGUGUGUGUGUGUGUGUCCAGUGUGUGUGUGUGUGUGUCCAGUGUGUGUGUGUGUCCAGUGUGUGUGUGUGAGUCCAGUGUGUGUGUGUGUGUGUUUGUCUAGUGUGUGUGUCCAGUGUGUGUGUGUCUGUGUGUAUCCAGUGUUUGUGUGUGUGUGUGUCCAGUGUGUGUGUUUGUCCACUUUGUUUGUCCAGUGUGUGUGUGUGUGUGUGUCCAGUGUGUGUGUGUGUGUGUAUUUUUGUUUGACCAGUGUGUGUGUGUGUGUGUGUGUGUCCAGUGUGUGUGUGUGUGUGUCCAGUGUGUGUGUGUGUGUGUGUGUGUGUGUCCAGUGUGUGUGUGUGUAUGUGUGUGAGUGUGUGUGUGUUUUCGUUUGUCCAGUGUGUGUGUGUGUGUGUAAGUGUGUGUGUCCAGUGUGUGUGUGUGUGUGUGUGUGUGUAUGUUUUUGUCCAGUGUGUGUGUGUGUGUGUGUGUGUUUGUGUGUCCAGUGUGCGUGUGUCCAGAAUGUGUUUGUGUGUGUUUGUUCAGUGUGUGUGUUGAGAGUGUGUGUGUCUAUUUUGUGUCCAGUGUGUGUGUGUGUGUGUGUGUGUCCGGUGUGUGUGUUGAGUGUGUGUGUCCAUUUUGUGUCCAGUUUGUGUGUGUUCAGUGUGUGUCCAUUUUGUGUCCAGUUUGUGUGUGUUCAGUGUGUGUUCAGUGUGUGUUCAGUGUGUGUGUGUGUGUGUGUGUGUGUGUGUGUCCAGUGUGUGUGUGUGUGUGUGCCCAGUUUGUGUGUCCAGUGUGUGUGUGUUUGUGUGUGUGUGUUUGUGUGUGUGUCCAGUGUGUGUGUGUUUGUGUGUGUGUUUGUGUGUGUGUGUGUGUGUGUGUGUGUGUGUGUGUGUGUUUGUCCAGGUGGUGUGUGUGUGUGUGUGUGUGUGUGUGUGUGUGUGUGUGUGUGUGUGUGUGUGUGUGUGUGUGUGUGUGUCCAGUGUGUGUGUGUGUGUGUGUGUGUGUGUGUGUGUGUGUCCAGUGUGUGUGUGUGUGUGUGUGUGUGUGUGUGUGUGUGUGUGUGUGUGUGUGUGUGUGUGUGUGUGUGUGUGUGUGUGUCCAGUUAUUAUUUCAGGGACACUGAGGAUUCAUCAUAAACCCCAAACCCUGGAUAGAGGGGCUCAGUGAAUGUGGAGGUGAAUGUGAUCAGGUGGGUCAGUGUGUCAGAGGAGGCUCUAUAGAAGGACAGAGUGCCGGUUGACCAGUCCAGAUACACUCCUACUCUGUGGGGGGCUGGAGGAGGGGACGUCUAUGGUAGUGGAGUUAUUAUUAUACCAGCUGGAGGAGGGGACGUCUAUGGUAGUGGAGUUAUUAUUAUACCAGCUGGAGGAGGGGACGUCUAUGGUAGUGGAGUUAUUAUUAUACCAGCUGGAGGAGGGG